rnacentral:rRNA from 1 species
GACGAACGCUGGCGGCGUGCCUAAUACAUGCAAGUAGAACGCUGAAGAGAGGAGCUUGCUCUUCUUGGAUGAGUUGCGCACGGGUGAGUAACGCGUAGGUAACCUGCCUGGUAGCGGGGGAUAACUAUUGGAAACGAUAGCUAAUACCGCAUAAAAUUGAUUAUUGCAUGAUAAUUAAUUGAAAGAUGCAACUGCAUCACUACCAGAUGGACCUGCGUUGUAUUAGCUAGUUGGUGAGGUAACGGCUCACCAAGGCGACGAUACAUAGCCGACCUGAGAGGGUGAUCGGCCACACUGGGACUGAGACACGGCCCAGACUCCUACGGGAGGCAGCAGUAGGGAAGCGUCGGCAAUGGGGGGAACCCUGACCGAGCAACGCCGCGUGAGGGAAGAAGGGUGUCGGAUCGUAAAGCUCGGUUGUAAGAGAAGAACGGGUGUGAGAGUGGAAAGUUCACACUGUGACGGUAUCUUACCAGAAAGGGACGGCUAACUACGUG